GCCCAUUUGAGUGGAAAGUGUUGACUUAUCUAAAGCGGCAUUGAUGAGGAGGCUUCUGGGAUUUUUAUUGUGACGUCACACAACGACCAGCUUUGGUGGUUGCUUCCUUCCCCCCCUUUGAGAAACAUGAGGACAUUAGGCGAGUGAGCAGGAGCCCUGAAGGCGAUGGCAGGAAGAGGAAUUGCCAAGGUGAAUGGAGUCUGAGAACACUAGUUAUUGUAAGGGACAGAGUAUGUAAAAACACUGAAAAGCCCUUCAGCGGACAGUCACCAUUUUGGGACUUCCCACCCCGGUGAGAUCUGGGACUGGACAGCUCUGUUGUAGGGGGCUGUCCUGUGCAGCUUCACUGAGAUCGGGAAAUAACGGUGAGCCAGAUCCAUACUGUCCUGGUCUCGUGGAUCAAAGAUGAGCCCUGUUGAAGCCAUCUUGCUUAAAUAGUCCUUGGCCUCUUCCGCUGGAGUUGUGGAUUUAGAGUGAGAGGAUACGGAGCAGCUGACAUGGAGGCCUCAUCCAAUCCAGUCUAAGCCUUACUCAGUAAUUGCGGCCCCUGCCUGGACACUGGAGCUUUCAGCUGCUAACCCACCCCACACUAGGUAGGUGGGCUUCGAAGGCGGAGCUCCCCGGCGCCUCAAGGUUUUGUUAACACUGAGAAUUGAAAGACCCGGCGCACCAUAGGAAACAUGCAGGAUGCUUCAAGAUAGGAAACAUGCAGGAUGCUUCCAGACACAAGCUUGACAACGGUGCACAGGAGACUUCCUGCCGGUCCCCAACUGAAAAGAAUGGGAAUUGGCGACAGUUUACAGCUGACUUAUUUCUUAGACUUCAUUUCUAGAGUUACAUUUAGUCAACUUUUAACAAUGAUGAAAAAAACAAUACCACCUGUGUAGCCCUCAAAGAAUAAACCCAGAAGGCUUCCGUACAAAACACACUCACUGUUUCAGUUUUGCAUACAGGGUAUUAAUAGCUUCCCCUUGGCGAGCACACAUGUGUGCAGGCGUUGUCCUGGGCCUUUUGCACACACUGCUUUGCUCUAUAAAGUAGGCAUAUUUAU
rnacentral:lncRNA from 1 species